UAGAAAGUGUUAUAGUAUGUGAACUUUCGAAAAAUCGAGUAUGCUUUAAAUGCCAGGAUGUUAUACUCAUUUCGGCCUUUCAUCUAGUAGAGUUUGCUGCACACUUUUCAGGAAUUUCACAGCCACAAUGCAUUGGAAGAGGGGGCUGCGAGUAAAAAACAAAACAACUUGGAAGAUGGCAAGUAGCUAAGCUUCUACGGUGGUGUUCAAAAAUAAGAUCUACGUAAAGGAGUGUGAGCUGGAGGGGCAGGUGUCACCUGCAUGGGUGAAAAAUAAGUAGGAGAACCAUAAGCAAAAAUAGACUGUAUACUGUAUGUUAUCUUUACAUUUAUUAAUGUGCUGUACUUGGCUAAUAAAAUUCCCCUUUUCUCUGAGCGCAACAACACUUUCCCAUCUAUAUAUUUCCUAUGCUUCACUGGCACAUUCAUGAGUUGAAAUUGCCCCCCGCUGGAGUCAGCACGGAGGGAGGCCACUGCCGCAUACAACAAGUGGUAUGUGGUAAUAGAUCAGGUGCUGCAGGGGAUGUUACCACUCCAUCACCCCACCUCCAUCACCACACUGGUCAUCAUCUCCUCCUCUCCCUCCCAGAAGGGUCCAGAUGUGGAGGCAUGAGAAGGAGGUGACUGCCAGGGAGGCACACCUUAUAGCCAUUUUAGAGGCCAUGAUUAAGAAGUAGUUUUAUGUAUUUUGUAUGUAUUUUAUUUAUAGCUAUUCAUUUUCAGUACUUUUUUAAAACCCAAAGUGGAUUUCAUUUUUCUCAUUAAAAAGUGUUUCUUGUUCUCAAUAAACCUUUUUAUUUAAUACCGGUACAUUUAAUACUGUUGGUGUGUUUUACAUGAAACAUUUCAACAUAAUAAAUGCACUCGCUCAUCGGAGCUAUCUUGUUGCAGGUGCAUGAUAACAUUACAUAAGUUGAAAGAAAAAAGAAACCCUGUAAACUGCUCUUGCUAGAAUAACUUUUUUAUUGAAGCUUGCA